CUUUUUUUUUUUUUUUUAAAUACUGCAAUGGCUAUGCAUACUUUCCUAGUGCAGAAACUAGAGAAGAAUCUGGGGUGAACACAGGAAGGAACUGUUUUAUACAAUGAGACAAUGAAAGUGGUAUAUUAAGUAUUAGUUUUUGUUCAUUUGUUUGUUUGUAGGUACCGGAUAUUGAAAUGACUUGUUAAACAAAAUGGUGAUUUGGAAGGAUACUGGGUAGUUCAUAGAUGAUGAGAAGGCUUGAUAACAAGGCUAAGUUAAAAGAACAGAAACCAGGGCAUUCCAAGGAACUUAAUGACACAGCAAGAAUGCAAGAAUACGAGUGAGAGAGCGAGCAAGCAAGAGAAAUGACUAGUGACCAGUUGAGAAAGUCCUGUCUUCCACUGAGCCAUUUCACUCCUGCCCAUCUACUCUCAACAGCUCAAGAGCCGCUGAACCCUCGGAACUCUGUGAGGAUCAGAGGAGACAACAUGUGUGAAAACGCCUUACCAAUACAAAGCUGUGCAGAUGUAAAGGAUGGUUAUUCCAGAAUGGAGGUUCUUAACUUGAGAAGGGAAGAGAGAGCUAUUAUUUAUUGAUCUCCUCAUACCUCAAAUGAUGCCAAAAAGAAGAGUGAAGUCCAGUAGAAGUUGGAUGCCCUCACCUGAUCAACAAGUGGGCAAUUGCAGCCUUCACAUGCAUCUCACAGGAGAAGCACACAGAGCUGUGAGUACCCCUGGUGGGUGGAUUUGACAUGAUUAGGGAAGGCUUCCCAGAGGAAAUGUUGCUCAAGCUGAGUUCUGAUGAAUAAGCAGGGGGAACCAGAAGAAGAGGGAAGGAAAAAGUGUUCCAGACAGACGAAACACCUUCAAAGACCUGGUGGUGUGUGAGAAUGUGUGGAGUCCAGGAGCUGUAAGACUAGCAUGGUUUGAAUGAAGUUAGAGGGUGAGAGGAAGCUGGAGAACUGGGCAGAGGCCAGACCAUGCACGACAUCAGGCACCUGUGCUACACCACGUCGCUCCCACUCUAAUUCCAGCCAAGGCUACAGUGAACAGUGCCUCACCAGCUCCCAUCAGCUCUGUGCUGACCUCGUCCUAGGUGUGCCUGGAGCUUCUCUGGUUCCAGGCCUAGGCCUUUGCAGACCUGGCAGCCAUAUGUGAGCA